rnacentral:snoRNA from 1 species
GAGCAAUGAUGAAAAGGUUUUACUGCAGACCUUUUUUAAUUAUGAAGUUUUCUACACUUGAUUUGAGCUCA